ACGUGAGGAACCUGCCUCUGAGAGUGGGAUAGCUUCUGGAAACGGAUGGUAAUACCGCAUAACAUAGCGAAACCGCAUGAUUUUGCUAUCAAAGUAUUUCGCUCAGAGAUGGCCUCGCGUCUGAUUAGAUAGUUGGUGAGGUAACGGCUCACCAAGUCGACGAUCAGUAGCCGGACUGAGAGGUUGAACGGCCACAUUGGGACUGAGACACGGCCCAGACUCCUACGGGAGGCAGCAGUGGGGGAUAUUGCACAAUGGGGGAAACCCUGAUGCAGCGAUGCCGCGUGGAGGAAGAAGGUUUUCGGAUUGUAAACUCCUGUCGUAAGGGAAGAGAAAGGACUGUACCUUACAAGAAAGCUCCGGCUAACUACGUGCCAGCAGCCGCGGUAAUACGUAGGGAGCGAGCGUUGUCCGGAAUGACUGGGUGUAAAGGGAGCGUAGGCGGGAUGGCAAGUCAGAUGUGAAACCUGAGGGCUCAACCUUCAGACUGCAUUUGAAACUGCUGUUCUUGAGUGAAGUAGAGGUAAGCGGAAUUCCUGGUGUAGCGGUGAAAUGCGUAGAGAUCAGGAGGAACAUCGGUGGCGAAGGCGGCUUACUGGGCUUUUACUGACGCUGAGGCUCGAAAGCGUGGGGAGCAAAC
rnacentral:rRNA from 1 species